CCGCACUCGCAACUCUUUCGACGCCGUGCCCGCCGGCCACUGCCCGUUACCUACGAGACGCCAGUUGCGUCUGUAAUGCGGGAAACCGCAUUCCCACACGCCGACAAGCCGCGCGGAGUGGUCGCGCGGUUAGAGGCGCCAUGUCACGGAUUGUACGAC
rnacentral:misc_RNA from 1 species